rnacentral:rRNA from 1 species
AGGACGAACGCUGGCGGCGUGCUUACACAUGCAAGUCGAACGAUGAAGCCCAGCUUGCUGGGUGGAUUAGUGGCGAACGGGUGAGUAACACGUGAGUAACCUGCCCUUGACUCUGGGAUAAGCGUUGGAAACGACGUCUAAUACCGGAUACGAGCUUCCACCGCAUGGUGAGUUGCUGGAAAGAAUUUUGGUCAAGGAUGGACUCGCGGCCUAUCAGCUUGUUGGUGAGGUAAUGGCUCACCAAGGCGACGACGGGUAGCCGGCCUGAGAGGGUGACCGGCCACACUGGGACUGAGACACGGCCCAGACUCCUACGGGAGGCAGCAGUGGGGAAUAUUGCACAAUGGGCGAAAGCCUGAUGCAGCAACGCCGCGUGAGGGACGACGGCCUUCGGGUUGUAAACCUCUUUUAGCAGGGAAGAAGCGAAAGUGACGGUACCUGCAGAAAAAGCACCGGCUAACUACGUGCCAGCAGCCGCGGUAAUACGUAGGGUGCAAGCGUUGUCCGGAAUUAUUGGGCGUAAAGAGCUCGUAGGCGGUUUGUCGCGUCUGCUGUGAAAUCCCGAGGCUCAACCUCGGGUCUGCAGUGGGUACGGGCAGACUAGAGUGCGGUAGGGGAGAUUGGAAUUCCUGGU